GAUGAACGCUGGCGGCGUGCCUAAUACAUGCAAGUCGAGCGAAUAGACGAUGAUCUUUCUCCUCUGACGUUAGCGGCGGACGGUUGAUUAAAACUUGGAUAACCUACCUUUAAGACUGGGUUACCUUCUGGAAACCGGAGCUAUUACCGGAUAAUAUAUUGUACCGCAUGGUUCAAUAGUGAAAGACGGUCUUUCUGUCACUUAUAGUUGGAUCCGCGCCGCAUUACCUAGUUGGUGAGGUUACGGCUUUCCAAGGCAACGAUGCGUAGCAGACCUGAGCGGGUGAUCGGCCACAAUGGAGCGGAGACACGGUGCAGACUACUACGGGAGGCAGCAGUAGGGAAGCGUCCGCAAUGGGCGAAAGAAGGACGAAGCAACGACGCGUGAGUAAUGAAGGUCUUCGGAUCGUAAAACACUGUUAUUGGGGAAGAACAAAUGUGUAAGUAACUAUGCACGUCUUGACGGUACCUAAUCAGAAAGCCACGGCUAACUACGUG
rnacentral:rRNA from 1 species